rnacentral:rRNA from 1 species
UAGGGAAUCUUCCACAAUGGGCGAAAGCCUGAUGGAGCAACGCCGCGUGUGUGAUGAAGGCUUUUCGGGUCGUAAAGCACUGUUGUAUGGGAAGAACAGCUAGAAUAGGAAAUGAUUUUAGUUUGACGGUACCAUACCAGAAAGGGACGGCUAAACACGUGCCA